GGUUUGUCCCCACUAAGUCUCAUCUUGAUCCCAAAUGCUUAUAGUGUUAAAGUGACGAGAUCACAUGCUGCAAAUAUGUCUGUAAGGAUUGAUGUCCUACAAAAGGACAUGGCGCGACCAAAAAGUGUUGGUCUUGAUGCCAUCACCAUGGAUGGUGAUAUGGUGACGCCAUAUAGUGGCAAAAUUGGUGUCACAAGGCCGUGUGGCUCCCUAAAAGGAGGGAGGCCCUUAGGUUCGAUAUUGUCUUGCACUAGAAAGAAAGCGAGCUUGGCACAACCUGAUCCAUUGAUCAGUGAUACUCAAAUCCGUCUCAUGAAGUCUGAAUUGUGAUUAUCGUUGGGGGACGUCUCAAUGUCAAAUCCAAUUCAUAUAGAGAUCUCUGCAAGUAUUACACUAGUGUACAUGAGGACGUGAGAUAAUGAGUCUACUAUCGAACCACCCUUCGUUGAUGGAUAUCAACUUAGUUGAUUGGCCUAAUGGAAAGAUACGAUCCAGCAUUAACAAAGAGAUAGGUCUUUGGGCAGAUGAUGCCGACACCGCAAGCUAAACCCUAUCAACUAUGCCUUUGUUAGAUAGCGUAGUGAGAGUAAGAGCUUAGACUCACCUUAUGGCGCAAGGUCUUUCACUAACACGCACUGGGAUCAACUACGAUGAGAUAUGCUCUCGUAAUGGAUGCCAUUGAACUCCACUACUUUGUCAGUUUGGUAGUUUCCGAAUAACUGAACAUGCAGCCUAUGAAUGUGGUCAUAAUAACAUCUCUAUGGGAUCAGAGAUAUACAUGAAGAUCUUAAACGGACUUCAUUCAUCCGAAUCAAGUGGCUCCAAACCACAGGAGCAUGCGUUUGCUAAAUGUAUUGAAACGCACAUGGACUCUACUUGAUUAGGAAUGGAUAUGGUGAAUUAUGCCUUUGCGUGUUCAUUCCGGAUUUACAUGGACUCUUGAUGGAUCAAGAGAUGCCAAUAUGUAUCAACAUCCGAAGAAAUAGAUCUUGGGAAGACACGGUCUUGAUAAGACACUCGAUGAUUGUAUUGAUGAUGAUUUUCCAUCAAUCGGCUUAGGCGCUCUAUAACUAGUGAGGCCUACAUAUACUCCCAUGAUUAGUCAAGGUCUUUGCUCUAAAGAGAGAUCCGUUGUUUUGUCUAAAGCAAGAUGACAAAUAUGUGUUAAGAGAUGGAGUUCCCAUCUAAGUACAAUAAGACGCAUCAAUGUACUCAACACAAUACGAAAGACUUGACAUCUCAUUCGCUAUGAAAAGUUGUAAAGCUAAGUGUAGCUAUGCGCCCACGCAACGCCAAUGUAAUGGCAGUAACUCCUUUUUCAAUACUUAAUGGUAUGAAAGGUUGAGGUUUAUUCUAUCCCUACAUAAAAAAGACACAUCAAAAGCGAAAUCAGAAUCUGCCAAGUUUUGUAGGUCAACUUCCAUGGGACCUAUAGGAAAUCUCACUCACUGGAAAAUGGUGAAAUUGGUACCAUUGGAAAGGUCUAUGUGUCUACUUUCCAGAGACACCAACCAUUUGAUCAUACCUAUCAUAUUGAGUGAGUUAUGGCCGUUUUCGUAAAGUAGGACGAAUCUGUCCAAGAAUCUGAUUUUGGCAAAACAGUCAACUUCGACGGGAUUUUGUGAACAGCUCCUGAUGAACCAGAAUGUGUGUAAUAUACGGUUGGAAAGCUAAAUGAGUCUAGUUUCCAAAACCGUUUACGGUUUGUUCAUAUGUAUUUCCUAGAGGAAGUUACGACUGUUCUAGUAAUUGAAGGUCAUGCUGCGCGGAAAUCUGAUUUGCUGCACGAACUUAUGUUUUGAGUUCACAAGCGACCUUCUCCUCAAGAUCUAAGUGUAAAAGAUCAUUUGAGGACAAUACGGCAUGAUUUAGUUAAUCAUUGCCCAAUGCCACAUUUGAAGACAUGUUAAAGAGCAUUGACAUGCUAAGUUGUUGAAAUUUCCGUGAUUAGUAAGAAUCAGAAAGAGCCCUAUGAUUGAUGUAAAGAUCAGGGGGAGGUGCGAACUUCAGGGGGAGUCUAGCACAUACAUACAUGUCACUAUCAAAUGUGAAUGGUGCGUUGUACUCUUUUUCUCCUACGAUCAAGGUUCAGUUUUUCUCCCACAUGGUUUUUGUGACUUCACGAGGUUUUUGACGAGGCAACAGAUCAGCACCAUCGGCAUAUCAGCGCGCGGCACAAGGGGGAGUGUUCUAGGAUAUUCUCUAUGUGUGCCUUGGCCUUAUGCUAAUAGGAUUAAUGUUAGUUAGACUAGAUCUAUG
rnacentral:lncRNA from 1 species